ACAUACAGCCAUACCACCCAGAAUGUACCUGAUCUCCUCUGAUCUCAGAAGCUAAGCCGAGUCGGGCCUAGUUAGAACUUGGAUGGGAGACUGCCUGGGAAUACCGGGUGCUGCAGCCU
ensembl:rRNA 5S_rRNA 5S ribosomal RNA